CUCGCGCGAUUGGAGCGGCCGAUAUCAGAUUAGGUAGUUGGUGGGGUAAAGGCUCACCAAGCCAACGAUCUGUAGCUGGUCUGAGAGGACGACCAGCCACACUGGGACUGAGACACGGCCCAGACUCCUACGGGAGGCAGCAGUGGGGAAUUUUGGACAAUGGACGCAAGUCUGAUCCAGCCAUUCCGCGUGCAGGAUGAAGGCCCUCGGGUUGUAAACUGCUUUUGUACGGAACGAAAAGGUCUCUUCUUAAUACGGGGGGCUCAUGACGGUACCGUAAGAAUAAGCACCGGCUAACUACGUGCCAGCAGCCGCGGUAAUACGUAGGGUGCGAGCGUUAAUCGGAAUUACUGGGCGUAAAGCGUGCGCAGGCGGUUAUAUAAGACAGAUGUGAAAUCCCCGGGCUCAACCUGGGAACUGCAUUUGUGACUGCAUAGCUAGAGUACGGCAGAGGGGGAUGGAAUUCCGCGUGUAGCAGUGAAAUGCGUAGAUAUGCGGAGGAACACCGAUGGCGAAGGCAAUCCCCUGGGCCUGUACUGACGCUCAUGCACGAAAG
rnacentral:rRNA from 1 species